GCGCUGCAUUAGCUAGUUGGUAAGGUAACGGCUUACCAAGGCAACGAUGCAUAGCCGACCUGAGAGGGUGAUCGGCCACACUGGAACUGAGACACGGUCCAGACUCCUACGGGAGGCAGCAGUAGGGAAUCUUCCGCAAUGGGCGAAAGCCUGACGGAGCAACGCCGCGUGAGUGAUGAAGGUCUUCGGAUCGUAAAACUCUGUUAUUAGGGAAGAACAUAUGUGUAAGUAACUGUGCACAUCUUGACGGUACCUAAUCAGAAAGCCACGGCUAACUACGUGCCAGCAGCCGCGGUAAUACGUAGGUGGCAAGCGUUAUCCGGAAUUAUUGGGCGUAAAGCGCGCGUAGGCGGUUUUUUAAGUCUGAUGUGAAAGCCCACGGCUCAACCGUGGAGGGUCAUUGGAAACUGGAAAACUUGAGUGCAGAAGAGGAAAGUGGAAUUCCAUGUGUAGCGGUGAAAUGCGCAGAGAUAUGGAGGAACACCAGUGGCGAAGGCGA
rnacentral:rRNA from 1 species